ACACCUAAAGUUAAAGACAAAAAAAUUGGGCCGCUCAUAUAUCUCCUAUUCUCCUUCAUCAUUUUGGGGAUAGAUCCAAAAUCUUGUUCAUCAAAAAUACCUAAAAGUUCAACUCUCAGGUAAUUAUUUACUCUUGCUACUGGUUAUUUUGUUGUUUCCUUAAAAAUACUGAGUCAACCCUCUCCUUCCUUCCCAGCAAAACCCUAGAAUCCCUAUUCGUUCACACAUUCAAAAAUUCUAUUCAUAUAAUAAGUCAAAUUCGAUAGUCAAAUUUAUACUAACUCCAUAUUGAUUUGAAAAUUCCAAUUUCAAUUUAAGAAAAUAAAAUGGCAUCAGAGAUCUAGGUGGUUGAGGAGGUGGAAUAAUAAAUGUCGAAUCAUCAUCGUCUUCAAUGACGGUUAACGGCGGCGGCGUUGAGGAGGAUAGUUUAAGAAACGAUGUGUAUAUGGCAGCGGCGUUGUUGGAUAUGGAGAAAUUUCAGAGAUUGGCAUUUCUGAUUUCCUUAUUCUAAUGUUGUUUCGGUUUUUUUUCUUCUCAUGUGUGGCAAGAAGAUACUGGUGAACUGCAGGUUUUAGGGAAUAUAUUGAAGAAGUAUAUACUGCAUAUGAUCAACACAAACUAGAGACCACGUUCUAGGUUAAAGAUGAUGUUAGCCAUAGACAACAAUUAUUUUUAUUUGAGUGGAGACAUAAAUGAAGAAUAAUUGGAGGUUUCAUUAGAUUGUGUAAUGCCCUUUGUUUUCAGCUCUUAUUUAUGUAAUUUGCUCGAUGUCUAGCUCUCAAAAUAGUUUGGUUAUAACGUUGAUAGGUUUAAUUUUUUUUGUAAUCUUGAAAUGUGUAAUUGGACUAUAUAUGAAAAUGGAAUUCUUCAAAGGAGAAGAAAGAUACAGUAUCCAGAUUUUUCUAUCCAAUAUGUUAUCUUUUAGAUAAAUCCGAUCUUUAUAAUUUUCUAAAGAGAUUU